rnacentral:rRNA from 1 species
GACGAACGCUGGCGGCGUGCUUAACACAUGCAAGUCGAACGCGCCUGUCCUCUGGGUUUCUGGUGGGCGGGUGAGUGGCGAACGGGUGAGUAACACGUGAGUAACCUUCCCCCUUCUUCGGGAUAACGGUCUGAAAGGGCUGCUAAUACCGGGUAUUCACUGGUCUCCGCGUGGGGUCUGGUGGUAAGGUUUUUUUCUGUUGGGUGAUGGGCUCGCGGCCUAUCGGCUUGUUGGUGGGGUGAUGGGCCACGAAGGGGUUGACGGCUAGCCGGCCUGAUAGGCUGACCGGGCACAUUGGGAGUGAGAUACGGCCCAGACUACGACGGGGGGCAGCAGGGGGGAAUAUUGCACAAUGGGUGCAAGACUGAUGCAGCGACGGCGCGUGAGGGAUGGAGGCCGUCGGGUUGUGAACCUCUUUCGCCCGUGGUCAAGCCGCGACGUGGGUCGUGGUGACGGUAGUGGGUAAAGAAGCGCCGGCUAACUACGUG